rnacentral:rRNA from 1 species
GACGACCGUUGGCGGCGUGCCUAAUACAUGCAAGUAGAACGCUGAAGAGAGGAGCUUGCUCUUCUUGGAUGAGUUGCGAACGGGUGAGUAACGCGUAGGUAACCUGCCUUGUAGCGGGGGAUAACUAUUGGAAACGAUAGCUAAUACCGCAUAACAAUGGAUGACACAUGUCAUUUAUUUGAAAGGGGCAAUUGCUCCACUACAAGAUGGACCUGCGUUGUAUUAGCUAGUAGGUGAGGUAAUGGCUCACCUAGGCGACGAUACAUAGCCGACCUGAGAGGGUGAUCGGCCACACUGGGACUGAGACACGGCCCAGACUCCUACGGGAGGCAGCAGUAGGGAAUCUUCGGCAAUGGGGGCAACCCUGACCGAGCAACGCCGCGUGAGUGAAGAAGGUUUUCGGAUCGUAAAGCUCUGUUGUAAGUCAAGAACGGGUGUGAGAGUGGAAAGUUCACACUGUGACGGUAGCUUACCAGAAAGGGACGGCUAACUACGUGCCAGCAGCCGCGGUAAUACGUAGGUCCCGAGCGUUGUCCGGAUUUAUUGGGCGUAAAGCGAGCGCAGGCGGUUUGAUAAGUCUGAAGUUAAAGGCUGUGGCUCAACCAUAGUUCGCUUUGGAAACUGUCAAACUUGAGUGCAGAAGGGGAGAGUGGAAUUCCAUGUGUAGCGGUGAAAUGCGUAGAUAUAUGGAGGAACACCGGUGGCGAAAGCGGCUCUCUGGUCUGUAACUGACGCUGAGGCUCGAAAGCGUGGGGAGCGAACAGGAUUAGAUACCCUGGUAGUCCACGCCGUAAACGAUGAGUGCUAGGUGUUGGAUCCUUUCCGGGAUUCAGUGCCGCAGCUAACGCAUUAAGCACUCCGCCUGGGGAGUACGACCGCAAGGUUGAAACUCAAAGGAAUUGACGGGGGCCCGCACAAGCGGUGGAGCAUGUGGUUUAAUUCGAAGCAACGCGAAGAACCUUACCAGGUCUUGACAUCCCGAUGCUAUUUCUAGAGAUAGAAAGUUACUUCGGUACAUCGGUGACAGGUGGUGCAUGGUUGUCGUCAGCUCGUGUCGUGAGAUGUUGGGUUAAGUCCCGCAACGAGCGCAACCCCUAUUGUUAGUUGCCAUCAUUCAGUUGGGCACUCUAGCGAGACUGCCGGUAAUAAACCGGAGGAAGGUGGGGAUGACGUCAAAUCAUCAUGCCCCUUAUGACCUGGGCUACACACGUGCUACAAUGGUUGGUACAACGAGUUGCGAGUCGGUGACGGCGAGCUAAUCUCUUAAAGCCAAUCUCAGUUCGGAUUGUAGGCUGCAACUCGCCUACAUGAAGUCGGAAUCGCUAGUAAUCGCGGAUCAGCACGCCGCGGUGAAUACGUUCCCGGGCCU